UACGUAGGGUGCGAGCGUUGCCCGGAUUUAUUGGGCGUAAAGGGCGCGUAGGCGGCUCGGCACGUCCGUUGUGAAAUCGCCCGGCUCAACUGGGCGGGGUCGGCGGAUACGGCCGAGCUGGAGCAAGCUAGGGGGUAAUGGAAUUCCCGGUGUAGUGGUGGAAUGCGUAGAUAUCGGGAGGAACCCCAGUGGCGAAGGCGGUUACCUUGAGCUUUUCUGACGCUGAUGCGCGAAAGCGUGGGGAGCGAUCCGG
rnacentral:rRNA from 1 species